rnacentral:lncRNA from 1 species
AGGGUCUCAAUAAUGAAAUCCUCCCAAUCAACAUCAAAUUUCAUUUUCCUUUUUCCUUCUUCCAACAUUUACGUGUUCGAGGAAACUAUACUUUUGCAUAAUUAUAUUUUCAUAGGCCAAGCAACCACUAUCAAAAGAAGGAGGCAUAACAUAAAAUUUCAUUUUCCUUUUUCCUUCUUCCAACAUUUACGUGUUCGAGGGAAUUAUACUUUUGCAUAAUUAUAUUUUCAUAGGCCAAGAAACCACUAUCAAAAGAAGGAGGCAUAACAUCAAAUUUCAUUUUCCUUUUUCCUUCUUUCAACAUUUACGUGUUCGAGGGAACUAUACUUUUGCAUAAUUAUAUUUUCAUAGGCCAAGCAACCACUAUCAAAAGAAGGAGGCAUAACAUCAAAUUUCAUUUUCCUUUUUCCUUCUUCCAACAUUUACGUGUUCGAGGGAGCUAUACUUUUGUAUAAUUAUAUUUUCAUAGGCCAAGCAACCACUACCAAAAGAAGGAGGCAUAACAUCAAAUUUCAUUUUCCUUUUUCCUUCAUCCAACAUUUACGUUUUCGAGGGAACUAUACUUUUGCAUAAUUAUAUUUUCAUAGGCCAAGCAACCACUAUCAAAAGAAGGAGUCAUAACAUCAAUUUUCAUUUUUCUUUUUCCUUCUUCCAACAUUUACGUGNNNNNNNNNNNNNNNNNNNNGUUCGAGGGCCAAGCAAUCACUAUCAAAAGAAGGAGGCAUAACAUCAAAUUUCAUUUUCCUUUAUCCUUCUUCCAACAUUUAUGUGUUCGAGGGAACUAUACUUUUGUAUAAUUAUAUUUUCAUAGGCCAAGCAAUCACUAUCAAAAGAAGGAGUAUAAUAAUUGAUUUAUUCCACUUGAUUUAUAGGCCAAGGAAACUAUACUUUUGUAUGAUGAUUGAUUUAUUCCACUUGAAAUAUUAUGUGCAAAGAAUUCUUAAUAAUUUUUGACACUUUUUAUUAUGUACAUAGGUAGAGGAAGGAGAAAUAAAGGGAGAACAAAAUAAUAAGUAGUAAUAUCAAUAGAAUGAGUUAGGACGGGGCAGGUGGGUUAAUUUUUACCCCGCCAUAGAUUCAACACACCCUACCAAACCCCAAUUAAUAUUUUUUUGUUUUUCAAUACCCAC